rnacentral:tRNA from 1 species
GACCACGUAGCUCAGUUGGAAGAGCAUUGGGCUAGUACUCCAAAGGUCGUAGGUUCGAAUCCCACCGUGGCCA